rnacentral:rRNA from 1 species
AUUCCGCUGAAUUUAAGCAUAUAAGUAAGUGGUGGAAAUUAAACCAACUGGGAUCUCCUCAGUAAUUGCGCAUGAACCAGGAUAUGCUUAGCUUGACAAAUGGAGCUGCUGGCUCUGAAUUGUAUUGUGGGAAUGUAUUACCAACAGAGGUGCAGGUGUCAGCCAUUUGAAAGAAAGCAUCAAUGAGGGUGAGAGUCCUGUUUGUCAUGUGCAGCCUUCUGUGCACGGUGUAUAUUUGCUGAGUCACACUCCUUGGCAUUGGAAUGCAAAGUGGGUGGUAAGUUUCAUGCAAAGGUAAAUAUGCAAUUGAGACUGAUAGCGCACAAGUACCAUGAGGGACAUAUGAAAAGGACUUUGAAAAGAGAAUUAAAUGAGUUUGUAUUUGCUAAACACAAAGUAAACAGACUUGAUUUCCUCAGUGAGAUUGUAGUGCUUGCUUAACAAUGGGUCUUGGCUGCAAGUGCAAUAAUUCUUGCUUUGUGUGCCAGUUUUUAUGUGGACAUUUGAUUACCUUUGCACAUGAAUGGUAAUUUUCCUGCGGGGUGUGGAUUGCAUAUGCAUGUAAUGAUUUGCAUGUUUGUUAAAUGUGUCUGGUGUUUUUGUUUGUGUCCUUGUCCUUGAGGUUGCUUUCUCCCUUGGGCUUACAUGCCCUGGCACACACAUUCUGGCAAAAUGCUUCUGCUUGACCCGUCUUGAAAAU